rnacentral:lncRNA from 1 species
GUACCUGCGCAUGGGAUCUCCAUAAUCCAUCAGGCAGCAAGCAAAUUCAAUAUGUAACUGCUUAUCAAAGUGAGGUGUGUCUUAAUUACAAUUCCAUGUUUCCAAGGAAGUGGAGAAUUGGUUUAUAUUGUUAUAUCUGAUUUCUAACUUAUUCAUACGAGUAGUUAAUAUACAAUAAUAAAAACAUGAUCAUAUUCAAGCAUUAACAGUACUUUCUACCUGAACUCAUCAAUUAAUAGCACCCAUGCCCUAAAAUUUAUAUCAGAUAUUCUCGCAAUCUAGAAUUCGUAAUUUUCACAUCUCCAAAUCCAGGAACUGAAAAUUACUCCCUCAAUGGUAUAUUACUAUUUUACAAUUUCUCUUGAUUCCCUUGAAAGAAAUAAAUGUUUUACAAUUUUGGCUAGAAUCUUCCCGCCGGUAAUGCUUUGUGAUUUCUUUUAUAUUGCAAUCGUCAACUUAACUCUAAUUUGAUCUGCCAGUUUAAUAAAAAUUGUCGUUGCUGCUUCCUUGUUUGCUUCUCUUCCAAUUAUUUGUAUGUUAUUCAGUUCAUAUGAAUUUAAUCUAAUACAAAAGCAUUAAUUCUUUGCAACAAGCCGACCAGAAGCUAUAGUCGAAGACAUUGAAACAAUAGUUCAAUCUUUUGUCGAAAAGGUAAUGUGUAAAUAUUUCUUUUGAUUUCUCUCCGCCAGAGCUAUUUAUUGCUGAAAUACAAAUCAACUUUAUCUUAUUUUAAGUUAAUGAUUAUCAUAGGUGUCUAGAAGUAAAGAUUGGUUAAAAAUGUGUUAGCUUUUCCCCUCCCCCCAACAAUUAUCUCUCGCAUACCUAAACCUUUAAAUGUGUUAUCCAUAUGGAUUGACCCACGCAAAUGUAGAAAAUUAGUCUUCUGUUGUCACUAAAAAACGAAUGUAAGAGCUGUUAGUUUGAUGUGCAUUUUUUGAGUAGUGUUCUCUAAAAUCACAUUAUGAAUUGAUGUUCGUUUAUUUGCGUGUUAUAAUUUGAAGUGAUUGUCAAAGGUUCCAUGAUCAUAUAGGAUGCCACAAAUUGUGUACUCAAUGAAUCGGGUAUAGUAAGACACAAUUUUUGAUGUGAUCAAAAUUAUGUCGUUCACAAUCGAUUCAUAAUUGGACGAUUUAUGUUGAUAAGAUUGUAUUGUUCUUAUUAAGAUUUGUCUAGAUCUUGAGAUAGAAACAAUAAUGUAUUUUGAUGCACUUUGAACGGGACUACGUAGAUGACUCAUUCGUGACCGUUUGAAAUGAGACUACUUGAUUACCAAACAGGUCAUCUAAAUCCUAAGUGAGUAAUGUAUCUUUGAUUGCUAGUUCAGGUUCUUUGAGAUACCAAGAAGUGAAUCUUAAAUAGAAGAUUGAUCUCGGUGCUUUGGGAAUCGGGUCGAAACAAUUAGAGAUCAUAUACUUACAAUAGUGGAAUCCAUUAAUCAUUGAGAUGAGACGAUCGCCACUCUAAGGUAUUUUCCUAGGCAAAUUGAAUCUGAGCUCAGUAGGUCGACGAUGAGAUCGUUGGACUUUAAAUUGUGAUUUGAUGACAACAAAUUUGCUGUAUGAAAAUGGGACUUAGAGGGUAAUGCAUGUUAAAGGGCAAAACGGUCAUUUUGCCAGUUUCAACAUAUUGACGGUCAAAUGAGGGUUAACUUGUGGAACAAUAAUAAGAGGAUAUUAUUAUUGGAUCGUAAUUUGCUUCUAUAACUAUCACUCGACUCGAGAGUGUAAUCUCAAUUUUUUGGUAAAAUAAGCCGGGAUUAAUAGAUGUAUCUCAAUUGAUCAAGAGUUGACCCGAUUGGAAACAUCUAUUGGAGUUUGGGUCAUGUGAGUCCGGUUAGGUCCCUCUCUUAGCUCCAAUAAAAGAUAUGUGACUUAAUUGUCCUACUACAAUAAAGUCCUAGAAAAUUUGUGCAAUUUCCAAACCCUAAUAGAGCAUUAUAAAUAUGCACUUUAUUGUCAUAUUUUAUAUGAGAAUUAGGGUUAGCCACUUUUCACUUUCCCCAAAAGGAAACACCUAGUGAAGAACAAGAGAGAAGAUCUAAGGGAGGAAGCAAUUGGUUAGGCCAUUGAUAGCUCCUUUAAAAGGCUAUCAUCUCCCCUUUCUAUGUGAGGAUUUUAUAAACCAGUGAUCUCAAGGUCACAAAAAUCCUUAUUUACAUGAUUUUAAUCUUCAAAGGAAAAUUAAUUUCCUAUUGUGAUGAUUAAAAUUCAUUAACCAACAAGAGCUUCAUGUCACACUUUGCACUAUUCGUACUUCUCUAUGUGGAACCUCAUAUUGUAUAUGUUUUUUUCAUUGUACCUGAUGAUUUUAUUUCAGAGCAGCCCAACUCAUUAUAAUAUUGCUACAAAUAUUUUCUCGACCAUAUAUUAUAUCAUCUCCGUUUUAUCUCGAUUCCCUACUAAGUUACAUUGAUUACAGACCACAUAGGUCAUUGUUUUGUAUUUCAGCACAUGGAAUCCAUAAGUAGAGCUCGAAUACCAAAUAUUGCAUCAUUAAUUAACAAAAGCAUCAGUGUACGUGAAUCUGAGAUGGAUCACCUUGGAAAGCCUAUUGUCGUUGAUGUAGAGGUGAGCUUCUAGAAUUUUUAAUUGGGUUUUCUGAAAUGAAUUCAUAAAUUUUUUUUGACAGUUGAUAUAUGUAUUUGAGGCUCGAUUAUACAAUAUAUUGAAAUUUUGUUGUGCUUUUGACCGAAUAUUCAAAGAACAUUUGGAGGGAGAGUAUAAAAAAAAUAUUGCUUACUGUACCGCAAAUUUUGCAUUUGGAAAUUUUUUAACGCAUUAUUAUACAUCUAGUCUGUUAUGUGCUUUAACUUUUAACAUUGUAGAUUUUACUUUUCUUCGAUACAUACUACUAUUGCUCAAUUAUUUCUUGUUUCCCUUUUUCCUACAGUUCUGACAUGUGAUGGUUUACUCGAUAUUUGUACCCUUUUAUUAAAUAAUUUGAGAAAGGUCCAUUGAGUAUAUGUGGUUUUGUAGAGGUGUCUUCCUGACAAACAUUGUUAAGGCAAGAAUUUACUAAUAACAUUUUAUACAUCCUAAGUAGUUAAUCCAAAAUAGGAUCCCAAUCUUUUACUCUUUACAAUGGAAUUUUUUUUUUUAUGCAAAAUCGCGUCUUUCUCAAUUUAACUUUGUUCAAAUUCUCCAACUUUAAAGUAAAUUAGAAUUGGUCCUAUCUUUCACUAAUUUAAAUUUGAUUAGAGUUCUUCAACUUUUGAUUAAAAUUUGGAAGAUCAAGACGAAUUUUGAACUUUUAAAACUUGGUCAAUAACCAUACAAAAUCAUCAUUUAUUGUAGAUUGAAAAGAAGUGUUAUUUUUACCAUUUCUUGGUUCAUCAUGCCUUGAUGUUUGUUACUUUUUGGCUAAUUCUUGUAUAGUAGGUCUUCAUUCGAUUAUUAUCUAAACAACUGGUUCAUUGUUUCAUACAACCAGAUGGUAAUCGAAUUUAUGGAGUUUUGGCUGCUAGCUGCUUUGAGAAAACUCACAUUUCUUCAGCAUCUCUCUUUGCAGAAAUAAGAGAGAAAUUAUCUCAGAAGAUGAUGAUUAUCAACUAUUCUUGAUUGCUCAUGAACAAAGUUACCGACGACUUAUCAAGGGAUCAUUAAAUUAUAUUAUGCAGCCCGCUGAAACUUCUGUUGAUGUAAGCAGUUUUUAUGUACUUCACUAGGAAUAUAACAUUUUUUCAAUCACCAGAAUGCCAACUAAGACUCUUCACAUCACUACUGGGAAGUCACCUUUUGGUUAAGGUUUUCAGAAGUCUAAUAAUAUGCUUCUCUUAACAUGUAAAUAUCCUUAAUGCUUGGCAAAAUUAUGCUGGAGUGUGCAAAUUUUUGUAGAUGUGGCUUUUUCUGUUGUUCUC